CCGAUGUCUCCUUGGUAUGGUGCAAACCAAACCGCAACGCCGGCGCCUUCCUACACAACUUACGCAACGACCAGUUCCUGCACCGAGGUCUUCAAGUACUACACCACUAAAGCACUGGAGUUUUAUACCACAACUUACGCUGCCCCGAGGCACUACACUGACGCCCUGAAGUAUAACUCUGCCCCGAAGUAUAUCUCUGCCCCCAGUUACUACACCAUCUAGGCGACGGAGUACUACAUGACUACGCAUGCUGCCUGGAGUUACUACACCACCAAGGCGACGGAGUACUACAUGACUACGUAUGCUGCCCAUCCUACUACACCGAGGCUCCUAAGUUCCCACUUAUUACUCCACCAAAACGGUCGAAUACUACACCGAAGCGCCAAAGUACUACUCUGCCCCGAUCUACACAACCACAACUGAGGCGGCCAAGUAUUACGCAGUCCCGACUUACUUCACAGAAGCUGCUCUUUCGUACUACAUCGAGCGGAAAUACUACAGUGAUGCUCCAUUUUACUUCACCACGACCUACGCUACACCUAGCUACAACACCGCAGCCCCAAGUACUACACCGAAAAAGCCGCCCAUUACACAACCACAUACGCUGCCUGGUAUACCACAUCGAGGAAUUUAAGUAUUAUCCUGCUCCAAACUACUACCAUCUGAGGUUCAUAUGUAUUUCACCAGCAAUUCUCCUGACUAUGUCACCACUACUUAUGUUGCUCUGACCUAUACAUCGAAGUUCUGAAAUAUUUCUCUGGAUGUGUUGAAAGAUUGCUGAAAUACAAGAUUGAUCGAUAA